GAUGAACGCUAGCUACAGGCUUAACACAUGCAAGUCGAGGGGAAACGAUGAGAGAGCUUGCUCUCUUAGGCGUCGACCGGCGCACGGGUGAGUAACGCGUAUCCAACCUACCCAUUACAGGGGGAUAACCUUGCGAAAGUAAGACUAAUACCCCAUGGCAUUUUAUGGUGGCAUCAUUAUAGGAUUAAAGAUUUAUUGGUAAUGGAUGGGGAUGCGUCUGAUUAGCUUGUUGGCGGGGUAACGGCCCACCAAGGCAACGAUCAGUAGGGGUUCUGAGAGGAAGGUCCCCCACAUUGGAACUGAGACACGGUCCAAACUGCUACGGGAGGCAGCAGUGAGGAAUAUUGGUCAAUGGGCGAGAGCUUGAACCAGCCAAGUAGGGUGCAGGAUGACGGCCGUAUGGGUUGUAAACUGCUUUUAUAGGGGAAUAAAGUGAGCUACGUGUAGUUUAUUGCAUGUACCCUAUGAAUAAGGACCGGCUAAUUCCGUG
rnacentral:rRNA from 1 species